CUGCAAUAAACAUUCAUUGCUGUCGGUGGGUUUACUUGAGAAUAACUCACUGAUCAAUGAAUGCAGACUGCGG
rfam:Larimichthys crocea isolate SSNF unplaced genomic scaffold scaffold13, whole genome shotgun sequence.